UAUGCUAGAAAUGGAGCAUCCCAGGU
rnacentral:piRNA from 1 species